UCUUCAUCCUUUUUUUAUUUAGUUUAUUGAAUUAAUUAUGAUCAUUAUUAUAUUUUUGUAUUGUCACUGGGAAAUGUAAAUUGAUAAGUUAAUGUAUUGCAAUUUAAAGGAAAAACAACACAAUUUGAAGCAAAAAUAGAUAAACAUACACAUGACAAAGUGUAAAUGUUGUGAACAGUGAAUUAUUGUGGUUGUGUUUUAUGAUUAUUGUCAUCUUUAUUGUUAUUUAUAGAUAUUUCUGGUUAUUACUGAACAGAUUUCUUUCCCUCAUAUUUUAAUUUUGAAGGUUAAACUCUUGCCCCAAGAGCAAAAGGGGUAAUCAUACUACCUGAUGUAUGGACUUUUACACCUGGUUUUUACCCUGCAUGAGCUGGCCAACUUGAGGGGAACUGAAGUGGGCAAACCUCGCCCUGUCAUUGAACAAGAAAGCUGGAUUUGUUGAGAGAGUAUCAUUAAAGCUGAAAUCCAGCAUGAAACCAGGGAGGUGAAGGCCAUCGCACAGGCCAUGUGCCGACUAUUCACUCCCCACCAGCUUGUGACUUGCUCCAUGAAGGGAGCAACAACUACAACGGGGUCACCAAGACCAAGCCUCCCCGCUGCUGAGAGAAAUGCAAUCAUUGGUACUUUUUCUUCAUCAUAAAAAUUUGAAGAACCAGUUAUCCGUAUAGAAAUUCAAUACACAACCUACAAAUAUUUUUCAGAUCACUUACUGUUUACAGUCGCAUAAAUGAUCAUUAUAUUACA